AAUGAACGCUGGCGGCAUGCCUAACACAUGCAAGUCGAGCGGACGAACGGGGCUUUCUCCCGUAUUCAGCGGCGGACGGGUGAGUAAUGCCUAGGAAUCUGCCUGGCCUAUGGGAAUAACGUCCGGAAACGGGAGCGGAUAACACAUACGUUCAGAUGGUGAAAGUGGGGGAUCAUUGGACCUAACGCUAUUAGAUGAGCCUGGGUCGGAUUAGCUAGUUGGUUAGGUAAAGGCCUACCAAGGCGACGAUCCGUAACUGGUCUGAGAGGCUGAUCAGGCACACUGGAACUGAGACACGGUCCAGACUCCUACGGGAGGCAGCAGUGGGGAAUCUUAGGCAAUGGGCGAAAGCCUGACCCAGCCAUGCCGCGUGUGUGAAGAAGGUCUUCGGAUUGUAAAGCACUGUUAGUUGGGAGGAACAGCAGUAUGUGUAUACCUUGAUGUUUUGACGGUACCUACUGAAUAAGCACCGGCUAACUACGUG
rnacentral:rRNA from 1 species